rnacentral:lncRNA from 1 species
UAGCAAUUCGCCAAAGUCACACUCUUAAAGGACACGCUGAUUGGUUUAUUUCACAUUAUGUAAAAAAAACUAUAAAAUAUGUAAUAUACUGGUAUAUAUGUAAUAUACUUUUCCCGACGUUACGAUAGCAAAGACACACUGACGCCCUAAAUUAAGCUGCACUGUGCACAGUUGAUGACUUACCUACAGAUCGCUAAAAUAGUCUUUUACUGCAUUUUUAUGUACACUGUACUUGUUCUCUCUCUUUCUCAGCACUUUCUCACUCUGUUCUCUCUCUCUUUUUCAGCCCCCCUCUUUCUCGCUCAGUGAAAGUAUUUACCCUUGAGAAGGAAACUGAAAGCCUGAAGCAGAUGGUGCAGCCAAAUGUCUGCCCAGUGGCCUGUAAAGCGAAUUAAAGUGGAACUUCAGCGUUUGUUCUGCAGGAAGAAAGGGGAUGUACGUGGAGCUGCAGGUGAAGGCGGAGUGUAAGGCUGGAUUUUCUCAGAGUUUGUACACACUGCACCUCUCAGCGGAUCUGCUGCAAGACCCCACUGUCCACCUGCCCACAGCGUUUCCUGACCCCGGCGGUGGAUCGGUGACCUCGUGUCAGAUAAUCCGGUCUGAUAGUGAUCCGGUCGGUGACCUGGCCCAGACUCAGAAGAGAGGCGACGCUUUGAUCUCGAGCUUCAGGGCGUCUGAGUGAAUGAAGGCAGAACCUCACUAAUGUGCUGAAAUACGGCCGAGCUUCUGCAGCUGAGCAUGCUAAUACACCUCCCACCACGGCUUAUAAACCCUCACUACACUAUACUCACUAUACUCACUAUACACACUAUAAUAUACAACCAUUCACCACAUCACACUAACACUACACUCACUAAUGUGCUGAAAUACGGCCGAGCCUCUGCAGCUGAGCAUGCUAAUACACCUCCCACCACGGCU